GACAGAGGGUGCAAACGUUGUUCGGAAUUACUGGGCGUAAAGCGCGUGUAGGCUGCUCCGCAAGUCGGGGGUGAAAUCCUGGAGCUCAACUCCAGAACUGCCUUCGAUACUGGCGAUCUUGAGUCCGGAAGAGGUGAGUGGAACUCCUAGUGUAGAGGUGGAAUUCGUAGAUAUUAGGAAGAACACCAGUGGCGAAGGCGGCUCACUGGUCCGGUACUGACGCUGAGGUGCGAAAGCGUGGGGAGCAAACAGG
rnacentral:rRNA from 1 species